CCUACGGGAGGCAGCAGUGAGGAAUAUUGGUCAAUGGACGCAAGUCUGAACCAGCCAUGCCGCGUGCAGGAAGACGGCUCUAUGAGUUGUAAACUGCUUUUGUACGAGGGUAAACCCAGAUACGAGUAUCUGUCUGAAAGUAUCGUACGAAUAAGGAUCGGCUAACUCCGUGCCAGCAGCCGCGGUAAUACGGAGGAUUCAAGCGUUAUCCGGAUUUAUUGGGUUUAAAGGGUGCGUAGGCGGUCUGAUAAGUUAGAGGUGAAAUCCCGGGGCUCAACUCCGGAAUUGCCUCUGAUACUGUCAGGCUAGAGAAUAGUUGCGGUAGGCGGAAUGUAUGGUGUAGCGGUGAAAUGCUUAGAGAUCAUACAGAACACCGAUUGCGAAGGCAGCUUACCAAACUACGUCUGACGUUGAGGCACGAAAGCGUGGGGAGCAAACAGGAUUAGAUACCCUUGUAGUC
rnacentral:rRNA from 1 species